rnacentral:misc_RNA from 1 species
GAUGAAGAACGUAGCGAAAUGCGAUAAGUAAUGUGAAUUGCAGAAUUCAGUGAAUCAUCGAGUCUUUGAACGCACAUUGCGCCCCCUGGUAUUCCGGGGGGCAUGCCUGUCCGAGCGUCAUUGCUGCCCUCAAGCACGGCUUGUGUGUUGGGCCUCCGUCCUCCUACCGGGGGACGGGCCCGAAAGGCAGCGGCGGCACCGCGUCCGGUCCUCGAGCGUAUGGGGCUUCGUCACCCGCUCUUGUAGGCCCGGCCGGCGCUUGCCGACACAUCAAUCUUUUUUCCAGGUUGACCUCGGAUCAGGUAGGGAUACCCGCUGAACUUAAGCAUAUCAAUAAGCGGAGGA